rnacentral:rRNA from 2 species
GUCGAGCGGACGGAUGGGAGCUUGCUCCCUGAAGUCAGCGGCGGACGGGUGAGUAACACGUGGGCAACCUGCCUGUAAGACUGGGAUAACUCCGGGAAACCGGGGCUAAUACCGGAUAACUCUUUUCCUCACAUGAGGAAAAGCUGAAAGAUGGUUUCGGCUAUCACUUACAGAUGGGCCCGCGGCGCAUUAGCUAGUUGGUGAGGUAACGGCUCACCAAGGCCACGAUGCGUAGCCGACCUGAGAGGGUGAUCGGCCACACUGGGACUGAGACACGGCCCAGACUCCUACGGGAGGCAGCAGUAGGGAAUCUUCCGCAAUGGACGAAAGUCUGACGGAGCAACGCCGCGUGAGUGAUGAAGGUUUUCGGAUCGUAAAACUCUGUUGUCAGGGAAGAACAAGUACCGGAGUAACUGCCGGUACCUUGACGGUACCUGACCAGAAAGCCACGGCUAACUACGUGCCAGCAGCCGCGGUAAUACGUAGGUGGCAAGCGUUGUCCGGAAUUAUUGGGCGUAAAGCGCGCGCAGGCGGUUCCUUAAGUCUGAUGUGAAAGCCCCCGGCUCAACCGGGGAGGGUCAUUGGAAACUGGGGAACUUGAGUGCAGAAGAGAAGAGUGGAAUUCCACGUGUAGCGGUGAAAUGCGUAGAGAUGUGGAGGAACACCAGUGGCGAAGGCGACUCUUUGGUCUGUAACUGACGCUGAGGCGCGAAAGCGUGGGGAGCAACAGGAUUAGAUACCCUGGUAGUCCACGCCGUAAACGAUGAGUGCUAAGUGUUAGAGGGUUUCCGCCCUUUAGUGCUGCAGCAAACGCAUUAAGCACUCCGCCUGGGGAGUACGGCCGCAAGGCUGAAACUCAAAGGAAUUGACGGGGGCCCGCACAAG